UUGUAAUAUUUUGGUUGGAAAAUACAAUAAAGCCCUUGGUGGCUUAAAGAGUAAGUAUAAAUGAUUGAAGGGUAUUGUGGUAAUUGACCAAUAGUUGAUAAAUAUAUAUAAGAAGAAAAAAAAAAGAAGGAUCUGAAUUUGGAGAGAGAACCGGCAGGAGAGAAGAAAGGAAGAAGAAGAAGAAGAGAAAAGAGGGGAAAAUAAGGGAAAAAGGAAAAGGUUGAAGAAAACAAGUAAAAGGGUAAGAAUUAUGCUUGAAUAUGUAUAAUAUGUUUUCUUUAGCUUUAAAUUUCGGUUUUUGAUUAAUUUUAGAGUUUUGAAUUUUGAGUUUAUUGAUGAAUUAGUUUGAAUUAAGGGGUUGAUUGAUGUGGGUAUUUGAUUAAUUAGUUGAUUUUGAGAGAUUGAAUUGAAGGAUAAUGAUUUUGAGUUAUGAUUUUGUUUAAAUGGUGAAAUUGUGUUAGAAAUCAGGGGAUAACAGUAGGUGAUCUGUUGAAAUUCUGGGUUUGAGGUUGAAGAUGACGAAAAUUCAGUUUGGUCCCUCAAUUUACGGAAAUUGCAGUUUAGUCCCCGAACUUUGGAAAUUUUACAGAUUGGUCCCUGGGGCAUAGAUUGACGUUCUGAACAGAACUGAGGAUGAUUUAAGGGCAAAAUUUUAGUAUAAUUAGGAAUAUAUGAUAUUUUCAGUUUGGUCCUCCAAUUUGACAAAAAGUAUAAUUUGACCCUAAAAAUUUGGUAAAGUUCCAGAAUGGUCCUUGGAGCAUAAUGAUAUAUCCUGGACAGAAUUGAGGAUUAAUUAUGGAUAAAUUUCAGUAUGGUUAUAUAUUUACAGUUCGGUCCUCAAAAUUUGGUAAAAUUACGUUUUGGUCCCUAUUUUGGAAAAUUGUCGUUUUAGUCCCUAAACUUGGGAGAUUAAGCCCGGUUUAUUUUAUGCUUUGGGAUCUUUUGUUUGAUCUUUUUGAGUAUAUUUCAUAUAUUUAUUGUAGGUUCUCCUAACGAUCCUUAAUCGGAUUUUCGGGUCUUUCGUCUGACAUUCCUUUAGUUCAGUAUUUUCCGGGUGAGUGGAAUAAUCUUUAAUAUGCAUAUAAUAUAAAUAAAUAUGUAUGUUGAUUAUACAAUGAGUACAACUAGUAAAUUUCUUGAAUAUUUAUAUAUGUUGCUUUAUUUUCCGAGUACUCAUUUAUUCUUGAAAUUGCACUCGCAAUCUGUUAAAGUAAAUUCUAUUUAAUAUGAUAUACGUUUCUUUGAUGAUUAUGUGAAUAUUUGUUAUGCCUUGAUAUGGGACUUGUCAGUACUCCAUGCUAACGGAGAAUAGUUAGCCUGUGUGCACACAAUAUUCUGUAUACCUAGCUGAUGAGAGAGACAUCAGCCUGUGGUGAUUGAUCAUCCCACAGUGGUCACCGACGGGUGUCAUCUGGUCACCGACGGGUGUCAUCUGGUCACCUACGGGUGUCAUCUGGUCACCUUCGGGUGUCAUCUGAUCUCUGACAUGUAAUCC
rnacentral:lncRNA from 1 species